UCCCGCGUAGUGCCUGGGUGCAGUGGGUCUGAGAGCAGCUUGACCCAGCAUGGUGCUGGGGUCUGGAUAGGGACCGACUGGGCGAGAUCCACAACGGUUGGGAGCAAGACUGCGGUGGGGUGCCCCUUGCCCCCAGCGGAGGGAGGUCCUCGGGGCUGUUCCCCCAUGAGCUCGCCUGCCAACCACGAGGGCGACCGGCCAGACACACAGGACAGCGUGGGAACAGCUAGAAAUAAGAGGCACGAGCCUUGCUGGCUGCUCCAACUCCGGCAGCUCGGGACCCGCGUCUAGUUAGUGUCUCCGGGAACUUUCAAGGCCAGUACGGAAGCCUAUGCCCCUUACUCGUGCUGAGCAGAGCCCUGCCCCAUGCACUGUCCCCUGCCCCUGCCGCACCCUGCUCCCGAGCGCCACGCGCCGGCCGAGUUGCCCGCCCACCUCCCUGGGCUGGCGCCCAGGGCACAGACCCGCGCCCCAAGACGCGCAGACCGGGAUCUCCCGUUUGGCUGGCAGCGCCGGGACUUGGGGGCGAGGUCCCCUCGGCCCAGCCCCGUUUCGGUUCCAUCGCGGAGAGGCGAAGAGUCCCCGGAAGGGCAGCGAUGGCCGGGGAGCCUGGGACAGCGGCUCUGGGAGACGCGCCCUGGGACCCGGCUGCAAGCGGAGGCCAGGGCACUGCGCCCUCUGCGCCCUCUGCUUGGGAAGCUCCAACCCCUGCGGGUGGCGGUGACGGAGGAGAUCUGGGCCCCCGACCCUGUGCCCGCCCGGCUGGAUGGAACCCAGUGCCGGCCGCGUGCAGUCUUCCUGCUGUGCGGCCGGCCUCGGCGCGGGUGGCCUUGGCCAGCUCGCAGCCGCAGCCGCUGCGCUCCACCAACGGAGCCCGGGCUCAGGCAGCGCCAGGGCGAGGAUCCUGCGCACGCAGGCGCCGCCCUCACUCGCCUCGCCUUUCGCCCACCUGGUCCCUUUUUCUUUUCAGGUGAAGGAGCUGCUGCCGCGCGCGCUCGCUCGCGCGCCGUCGGUUUGAAACAAGCCCAGCUCUCCACGUCCCGGGUUGGAGAGACACUUCUCCUGUCCCGGAGCCCGACCGUGUGAGCAGGAGGGAGGAUGGAGCAGAGGCCCUGCCUGGGCUUGCCUGGGCUUGUUCAGAGUUGGGCUGCUUUGCCUGGCGACCUCGCAGAUCUGGGGCAUUUGGAGAUGUUUCGGGAGCUUGCAGCCAAGAACCAGGGCAGGAGGGACCUGGAAGCCUGGGCCACCUGCUCCCAGCGCCAAGGGGGAGCACAGUAAGUCAUUCCCAGCCUGCCUCCCUCUCGGGGUUGCCAGGAGGACCACCUGAGAUGGGUCGUCUGUUCCCAGAGACUCCUUGAUCUACCGUGUUCAAGGCUCUGUGCUCCAAGUGCAAAGCAAGAAGGCGCCCGGUGUCCUGGGAGGCUUUCCUGACGGUCAGGACCACAGGAGCUAAUUCCAGGCCGAGGCUGUUGGCAGCAGUGACACUGGUGGCUAAUGAUAAAGGCUCCCCAAGGAACCCCAGCUGACAACCCACUGGCUCCUCCCACAGACGCCGACUUGGGGCCACUGUACUGUGGCCACCUGUUUGCCAUGGCAUCAGGAGCCGGACCCAGCCUGCAGAGGACCCAGAGGGAAGACACCGGGUGGCUUCUCAGGUCUCAGACAUGGCAAGGUCGUGGCCUCCCGAAGUCGUGAUGACCCCCGAGUGGGUCCCGUGCCUUUGUCUCUUGGCUCUGACACUGAACCCAGAGUGCUCCGCUUCUCUGUCCCAUCGUUCUCAAGUCUGUGCUUACAGAAACCCAUCUGAGUGAGCCGGGCUCGGUGGCACACGCCUGUAAUCCAGCGGCUCCGGAGGCUGAGGCAGGAGGAUCACGAGUUCAAAGGCAGCCUCAG